AGUGAACGCUGGCGGUAGGCCUAACACAUGCAAGUCGAACGGCAGCACAGGAGAGCUUGCUCUCUGGGUGGCGAGUGGCGGACGGGUGGGGAAUACAUCGGAAUCUACCUUCUCGUGGGGGAUAACGUAGGGAAACUUACGCUAAUACCGCAUACGACCUACGGGUGAAAGUGGGGGACCGCAAGGCCUCACGCGAUUAGAUGAGCCGAUGUCCGAUUAGCUAGUUGGCGGGGUAAUGGCCCACCAAGGCGACGAUCGGUAGCUGGUCUGAGAAGAUGAUCAGCCAGACUGGAACUGAGACACGGUCCAGACUACUACGGGAGGCAGCAGUGGGGAAUAUUGGAAAAUGGGCGCAAGCCUGAUCCAGCCAUACCGCGUGGGUGAAGAAGGCCUUCGGGUUGUAAAGCCCUUUUGUUGGGAAAGAAAUCCUGUCGAUUAAUACUCGGUGGGGAUGACGGUACCCAAAGAAUAAGCACCGGCUAACUUCGUGCCAGCAGCCGCAGUAAAAC
rnacentral:rRNA from 1 species